ensembl:misc_RNA Metazoa_SRP Metazoan signal recognition particle RNA
GAUGGGUACAAGUGGCUUGUACCUGUAAUCCCAGCUCCUUGGGAGGCUGAGACUGUAGAAACAUAUGAGCUUGGGGGUUCUGGCCUACAGUGUGCCAUGCUGAUCAGGUGUGCAUACUAAGGUCAGCAUCAAUAUGGUGGCCUGUAGGUUAGCAGGUUGUUUAAGAAGGGAUGAAAUGGAGGAGGUCAAAGCUCCUGUGCUGAGAGGUAGUGGGAUUGCACCUGUGAUUGGUUCCUGUAGCCCAGCCUGGGCAAGAGAGUGAGACGCAGUCUCU